CGGGGCGUAGCUCAGUUUGGUAGAGCGCAUGUUUUGGGUACAUGAAGUCAUCGGUUCGAGUCCGGUCGCCCCGACCA
rnacentral:tRNA from 1 species